GACGAACGCUGGCGGCGUGCUUAACACAUGCAAGUCACGGGGGCCCGCAAGGGCAACCGGCGAACGGGUGCGUAACACGUGAACAACCUGCCCUCGUGUGGGGGGAUAGCCGGGCUAACGCCCGGGUAAUACCGCAUACGGUCCCUUGGGGGAGUCCCUGGGGGAAGAAAGCUCCGGCGCACGGGGAGGGGUUCGCGGCCUAUCAGCUAGUUGGCGGGGUAAUGGCCCACCAAGGCGACGACGGGUAGCUGGUCUGAGAGGAUGGCCAGCCACAUUGGGACUGAGAGACGGCCCAGACUCCUACGGGAGGCAGCAGUGGGGAAUCUUGCGCAAUGGCCGAAAGGCUGACGCAGCGACGCCGCGUGUGGGAGGACGCCUUUCGGGG
rnacentral:rRNA from 1 species